AGUCGAGGGGUAGCAGGAAUAAGCUUGCUUAUUUGCUGACGACCGGCGCACGGGUGCGUAACGCGUAUGCAACCUACCCUGUACUGGAGGAUAGCCCGGAGAAAUCCGGAUUAAUACUUCAUAGUAUUAUCAUUUCGCAUGUUAUGAUAAUUAAAGGUUACGGUACAGGAUGGGCAUGCGUCCCAUUAGCUAGAUGGUAAGGUAACGGCUUACCAUGGCAACGAUGGGUAGGGGGCCUGAGAGGGUGAUCCCCCACACUGGUACUGAGACACGGACCAGACUCCUACGGGAGGCAGCAGUGAGGAAUAUUGGUCAAUGGACGCAAGUCUGAACCAGCCAUGCCGCGUGCAGGAAGAAUGCCCUAUGGGUUGUAAACUGCUUUUAUUUGGGAAUAAACCUCUUUACGUGUAGAGAGCUGAAUGUACCAAAUGAAUAAGCACCGGCUAACUCCGUGCCGCAGCCGCGGUAAUACGGAGGGUGC
rnacentral:rRNA from 1 species